CGGCAUUGGAAUAGUUCCAUACAGUCCUCUUGGUCGUGGAUUUUUCGGUGGCAAAGCUGUUGUGGAGAAUGUACCUGCAGAUAGCUUUUUGGUACUUUUUUCGGUCAAUGUUUAUCCGCAUCAUUUUGUUUCCUCAGUCAGUACUAUAUAAAUGUUUUAAACUAACAAAAGUAGUUUUACAGUUUCUUUUAAUGCUACUGUUUUAUAUAUCGUAGUAUAUAUGAAAAUGAUACGUGUGUUUGUUUUAUAAGCAUUUUCUUCCUAGGUUCAAAGGAGAGAACCUGGACAGGAACAAGAGUAUUUAUUUUCGCAUAGAGAACCUUGCCAAAAAGUACAAUUGCACUUCUGCUCAACUAGCCCUAGCAUGGGUUCUCGGACAGGGGGAUGAUGUCGUACCUAUUCCCGGUAACUUCUUUCUUUCGAGUUUGUGAUUCAUGUAGUGCCUUGAAGAAGUAUAUAGAGUUUAAAAAACCCAGUGGAUAAAAUGAUAUUACCAGCGAUAUUACUUACUGUUAAGUUGCUUCAAUUUUCAGGGACAACUAAGAUGAAAAACCUUGAUGACAAUAUUGACUCCUUGAGGAUUAAACUUACAAAAGAGGAUCUGAAAGAAAUUUCUGACGCUGUGCCCAUAGAAGAGGUAGCAGGAAACAGAGACCCGGAAGGCUUUGAUAAAGCAUCGUGGAAGUUUGCAAACACACCUCCAAAAGACUGCAAGGUUUGAACUUAAAAUAGUUCUGGAUGCUGCCUAUCUUACUUGGGGCUGGGAUGCAAUACUUUAUUCAAAUAAUGGCAGAUAAAUGCCAAAUUAUCUGUACAAUCUACUACUUGGCUAUCUGCCUAUUUGAUGUUAAACUUUGAUUAUUACGAUCUACUAUAUGUUUGGAAAUUUAGCAUGGCCAAUUUGUGAAAGGAAAAUACGCAUGUUUGAACUUUUCUAAGUUAAAGCUGAAUUCCAAGUUACUAUAAAAUCUUGCCAACUUGCUUUCCUUGAAAAUAAAGAUUAGAAAUAUCCAAAUUUUGGAUUGUAAUGAUUUUCCUGGAUUUUACUUCAUCAUAGUGUAGAUAUAUGUUGAAAUAUUUUCAGCCUUUUUGAGUUCCACGAAUGUGACAUGAAUGAAAUCUGUGAACCAUAUUUUAGCUCAAGCUGUUUCUCAACAAGACCUGGAGGACACUGGAUUGAAAAUAUAGUUUCUCAACAUACUACAUUGUCACUGCAACUUGAGUGGUUAAAUGAUAAAAGGUGAGUAUGUGUUGUUCAGAAAUAAGAAUAAUUGCAUAAAUUGUGAAGUUCACAAUACCAUUCAGGAGGCUAAAUUGACACAUUAAAAAACUUUCAAAUUCCUUCACCAACAAGGCACCAGUGGUCUUGUGGUAGAAUAAUACCCUGCCACGUAACAGACCCAGGUAUAGUAAUUAGCCCCACCUUCGAAUAAUUUUUAUUGUUGCCUUCUUUUGAUUAGUUCCAAAUCCUGCUUUAUUUUGUUAGUCCAUGGUACAAAGUACAAAACAGCAACACCAUUAACUCUCUUACGCCCUCCUUUAAUAAGAGUUAAGCUAAGCUACAAAGAGAGGAAAAGCUAACAGCUUUUCCAAAGAUGGCAGAAAAGAACAGAAUCCAAGUUCCAAGAGUGAAAUUUGGAUUUCCGAUUUGUAGUUUUCAUUUUUCUUUUUGUAUUUUUUUCCUUCAAUGCUGAUAAUUUGUUUUCUCUGACUGUGUUUUUGUGCUUUCACAGGUUUCAAAGCUGGGGUUUGGAUGCAUGAGCCUGAGCGGAGGUUACAAUUCUCGGGUCUCUGAAGAGGAUGGCAUCUCAAUAAUGAAGCAUGCUUUCAACAAAGGAAUCACUUUCUUUGAUACUGCUGAUAGAUAUGGACCAUAUAUACUAAUGAAAUUCUUCUUAGAAAGGUAAUGAUUAAGAAAAUGGAAUAAAAUGAAGUUAUCUUAUCAUGGAAUAACAUUUUAAAAGAAAAUCCAAAAUACAAAUAGGUUAUGUUUAUGCCAAAAAUUUAAAUAAAAAAAUAUAAAUUAGUAAUUAAAUUAACUUAACAAGGAUGAUGUUGCCGUAUUACACACAAAAAUAUAUUUUAUUUUGAUGAAUACUUAACGUUUGUAAAAUAAAUUAAAUUAAUUAGGAGUAAUAUGGACUUCUUAUUAUAAAAUAGCUUAAAUUGUUAGGGUAAGAGUUGAUUGUAGCAUUAUUAAAUUUAAAGGAGUAAGUAGUAUUUCUAACUUAUACUUGAGGAAGGAAUCUGUAAUUUUUCCAUGCAAAUAAGAAAUAUGUUUGUUUAAGGUAAUGGUAAAUAGCUACUCUUAGACAUUACUAAGAAAAUCAUAAGGUGGAAAUCAAAUCAUUGUUAAAAUUAUGUCAAUUUAUUUGGGGGGGAAAAAGUUCACUCCUUUCUAGUUUCUAGCCUUGAAGCAGUUGCCUAGGUUACAAGAUCAGCCACAAAGUUUGGGAUUACAGAAAUAGAUACCCCUGAGUAUGUACUCUGUUUUGUCGUGAAGCAAGCUUGAAGCACCUUGAUUUGAUUAUUAAUUGGUUUGACUUUCCUCUAAUCUUUUGGGUAAUUUCUAUAUAUGCUUUCACUAAAAACAAAUAAAUUUGCAAAGAAUACAUACAUAGAUAACUUUCUUUCAAAAUUAAAAAAAAAAAAAAAAAUGACCAACAAAGUGUUGGCUCCACUGGCAAUGGAGUUCCCUUAAGUGGCUUGACUGGGUUUGCUCCCCAGUUCGAGUCGCAGGGAAGUCGCCUUUGUUGGGAGAAUCUGUGCCUCCCGGUUCGAGCGGGGACUUCUAGUCUGAGUUGUGGUACGGGCUUAAAGGUGCCUCCCACAGUUGGGGCCCUCCCCAGGAUACCUCGUGAUUAAUAUAAAAAAAAAUGACAAGGAGAAAUUAUGAAUAUGAUGAUUCUUUAAAUAAAAAAUUUUACUGAUUUUCUAACAGCACAAAAUGCUUGAGAGGAAGAGAUUCUCAUAAAUCAAAUGUGAAAGGAUUAUGUUACCAUAAUAUAAAUAUGAAAAUGAAUUUUUCAUUUCUACUUAGAGCCUUGGGCCCAAACAAUUUUUUUUUUUCAAGUAUAAUACUUGAAUAGUUACAACAAAUGAUCGGACUAAUGACAUACACAAUACUUGAAUUUUCAGUAUAGAUUUAUAUUGAUGCAACAAAAUUGAUUCUCAUCUUCAUAGGCUAAGAAAUACAAAUCCAUUACUCAACUAAAAUUAUGGCGCAGAAGUUUUUGUUUUUGUUAAGGUUAAAAAAUGAGCAUAAAAGUAUACAUUUAACUGAUAAAUAAUUAGAAAAUUGAUAAAAUUAUUAAUUUUUUUUAGAAAAUUGAUUGAACUAGUCUGCAACAUUAAGUUUCAACAUAUCGUCCAAGGAUAGCCUAGCCAAGUUGGUAGCAAGAGAUUAAAUGUUCCAAUUUAAGGGGAUAUUCAUAGAUGUAAUCUGAAACAAAAAUGAAAUAAAAGUAAAAAUAAGCAAAUAAUGAAGUAAAAUCAUAAUCGAAUAAGAAUGCUAAGUUUUUAAAGAGGAGAGAAAUUACAAGUUAAGAUACGUUCAAAUUUCUUUGCAAACACACCCCUAAAAGAUUGCUAGGUUUGAACUCAAAAUAUUUCUUGAUGCUGCCUUAGUAGCUAUCUAACGCUUGGGGUCGGGAUCAAUACUUUAUUCAAAUAAAUGCUAAAUUAUCAAUAAAUUCUACUACAUGACUCUCUGCCUAUUGGAUGGAAAUUUGUAAAUUUAAUUCUGCCGAUUUUGUGAACUGAAAUUAUCUUUCGUUGUUAACUAGAAGUUAUAGCCUCAAGUUGCAAUAAAAUUUUGGCAAAUAGAGAUUGCAAAAUCCACCAGGAAAAUGCAGGGUGGCUUUUAUGUAUUUUAAUUCAGAUUGCUAUGUUGUUGCUACAUAACUGCCAUGUACCGAAUCAAAUGUAAACGCUUAAGGCUAUUUCUAGUAAAUAAUCUCCUAAAUUAAAAGAUGAAUUUGUUCCUACCUCCUUUUGGAGUUUUGGGUUCUGAUGCAGUGACUAUUCAAAUAUUGUUCUAAAAAGUUUAGAUACUUGACAUUCAAACUAUUAUGAAUAGUUAAUGGUCUUUACAUUGCUUGUAUUAUGAGGUCGGCAUGAGCCCUCAAUCAAAGAAGACACAAAGCCAUUGCAUUUGCAUUCAAGGGUAACAUAGGAGCCUAAAAUUUGCCACAAGAACAAAUAGAAACUACGGAAUAUACACUAUUGUGUUCAAAUUUCGUUCAAUUAAAAUAACGUCGUGGCACAUAUAUAAUUUAUGUUAUUAGAGAAAGUUUUUUAUGACACUAACGUACCAUGUUAUCAUACGUUUAUGCAAUAGAAUUGUAAUAUAUAUCCAUUUUGAAGUUGACCAACCAUGAAAGUGAGAGGAAACAAAAUUAAAACUUGGUGACACAAUAUAUUAUAUGGUCAAAUCGAGACUGUAAAUUUCUCUCCUAAGUUCUAACUGACAUUUUGCAAAGUCUAGGGGAUAUUUCUUAACUUUUAAAAUAUUUUGAACUUGUUUCCAAUUACACUGAACUUUGGGACACUUGUCAAAACUUUAUAAGUUCAUGAUUAAUCAUGAUAAAGAUAAAGAGCACGUGUCCCAGCUUAACACUUUUAGUCAUACGGAGCCUUCGACUUGGAGCCAAACCAGAAUCCUCUGUCUCAUUCUGCUCAUUGUUGACGUUAGAGUCAACUGUCUCUCUACUUAUUGAAACUUGAAAGACACCCAAAACAAAGAAACCAAAACUACAGCUUCAAAAAUGGCAGAAGAGAAACUCCAAGUUCCAAGAGUGAAACUUGGUACCCAAGGCCUCGAGGUAAACUACCCAUAUGUAAUUUUUUUUUUAAAAUCAAAUCCUGGAAAUUUGUUUUCUACAAUUGUGUGUUUUUCACGCUCUUACAGGUUUCAAAGUUGGGGCUUGGAUGCAUGAACCUGAGUUCUGGUUAUAGCUCUCCAGUCUCAGAAGAGGAUGGCAUCUCAAUGAUAAAACAUGCUUUCAGUAAAGGAAUCACUUUCUUUGAUACUGCUGAUGUGUACGGACAAAAUGCUAAUGAAAUUCUUCUGGGAAAGGUUAGAGUCAUUUCUUUGAAUUCUCUUACCUCUUAUAUAAUUCGGACAUAGGUCAAGUGAUAACUUAAGAAUCACAGUCCUGAUGAAAUAUGUUUGUUUAGGAAUUGGUGAAACCUCGUCGGAUUUUUUUGAAUCUUAUUGAAUUAAAAAAAAAAAAAAAAAGAGUACUCCUUCGAUUUCAGGCCUUCAAGAUGUUGCCCAGAGAAAAGGUACAAAUAGCCACAAAGUUUGGGGUUGUAGGACUAAGAGAUAAUGGCGUGAUCGUGAAGGGCACCCCUGAUUACGUGCGCUUGUGUUGUGAAGCUAGCCUGAAGCGACUUGAUGUGGAUUACAUUGAUCUAUAUUAUCAACAUAGAGUGGACACAUCAGUCCCCAUAGAGGAAACCGUGAGCGAUUUUUUUUUUUUUUUUUUUUUUUUUUUGGGCUAUCUGAAUUGUAGAGUUCUGUCCCAAAUUGCAAAAUUUAAAGAAUUAUUUUAGAAACUCUAUUACUUGUCAUGCUAUAGAUUGGUGAAAUGAAGAAGCUGGUGGAAGAGGGUAAAAUCAAGUACAUUGGAUUAUCUGAGGCCAGCCCAGACACAAUUAGGAGAGCACAUGCUGUUCAUCCCAUCACAGCUGUACAAAUGGAAUGGUCCCUCUGGACUCGUGAUAUUGAGGAAGAGAUAAUACCCCUCUGCAGGUUUGUUCUUCUUUCAGUGAAUACUAUCCGCAUUAGUCUUUUCUUCUACAGGCCUUUGAAGAGUGUCUAAGGACCUAUUUAUUUGUUCCAAUCUAGUAUUUUGUACCUAAUGUUUGUAGAAUUUUUUAAAUUUAAUUGCAUGCAUAGAGUAGAUUAGAUUUUCUGUGCAAGUGUAUGCUAAUAAAUACAAGGCUGCCCUUCUGAUACAUUGAGGUGGGCAGGGAACUCGGCAUUGGAAUAGUUCCAUACAGUCCUCUUGGUCAUGGAUUUUUUGGUGGCAAAGCUGUUGUGGAGAGUGUACCUGCAGAUAGCUUUUUGGUACUUUUUCCGAUCAAUGUUUAUCCGCAUCAUUUUGUUUCCUAAGUCAGUACUAUAUAAAAUGUUUUAAACUAGCAAAAGUAGUCUUACAGUUUCUUUAACUGUUUUAUAUAUCGUCGUACAUAUGAAAAUGAUACAUGUAUUUGUUUUAUAAGCAUUUUCUUCCUAGGUUCAAAGGAGAGAACCUGGACAGGAACAAGAGUAUUUAUUUUCGCAUAGAGAACCUUGCCAAAAAGUACAAUUGCACUUCUGCUCAACUAGCCCUAGCAUGGGUUCUUGGACAGGGGGAUGAUGUCGUACCUAUUCCCGGUAACUUCUUUCUUUCGAGUUUUUGAUUCAUGUAUUACCUUGAAGAAGUAUAUAGAGUUUAAAAAACCCAGCGGAUAAAAAGAUAUUACCAGCAAUAUUACUUACUGUUAAGUUGCUUCAAUUUUCAGGGACAACUAAGAUUAAAA
rnacentral:lncRNA from 1 species